GGAUGGAGUGACGCAGGAAGGAAGCUGAGCGCGCGAAUGGUUGGGCGCGUCGAAGGCGGUAGGCUAGUAUGGAGGCAAAUCCCCAUACUACAAGGCCGAGAACCGAUAGAUAGGAAAGACUACGGUCAAUCUGAAUUCAGCUGCACUACACUGCCAAGAAAAGCUUCUAACGAGAAGACGUCUCGCCCGUACCAAAACCGACACAGGUAGGCGGGGAGAGAAUCCUAAGGUGCGCGGGAAAACCCUCGUUAAGGAACUCGGCAAAAUGCAUCCGUAACUUCGGGAAAAGGAUGGCCGCUGAUGGUGAAGGUGUUUACCACCGGAGCUGUUGGCGGCGGCAGAAAAGAGGCCCAAGCGACUGUUUACCACAAACACAGGUGCCUGCGAAAGCGCAAGCUGAAGUAUAGGUGCUGACGCCUGCCCGGUGCAGGAAGGUUAAGGAGAGUUGUUAGUCCUUGAGAUGAAGCAGCGAACUGAAGCCCCUGUAAACGGCGGCCGUAACUAUAACGGUCCUAAGGUAGCGAAAUUCCUUGUCGGGUAAGUUCCGACCCGCACGAAAGGCGUAACGAUUUGGGCACUGUCUCAACGAGGGACCCGGUGAAAUUGAAAUACCUGUGAAGAUGCAGGUUACCCGCGACUGGACAGAAAGACCCCAUGGAGCUUUACUGCAGCUUGGCAUUGGUCUUUGGCAUAUGACGUACAGGAUAGCCGGGAGACUGGGAGGAUAGAUCGCUAGAUCUAUCGGAGUCACCGUUGGGAUACCGGCCUUCAUAUGCUAAGGAUCUAACCGGAACAUUAACAGUGUUCGGGACAGUACCAGGCGGGCAGUUUGACUGGGGCGGUCGCCUCCGAAAGAGCAACGGAGGCGUCCAAAGGUUCCCUCAGCGCGGACAGAAAUCGCGCGAAGAGCAUAAAGGCAGAAGGGAGCUUGACUGCGAGACUGACGGGUCGAGCAGGUACGAAAGUAGGGCUUAGUGAUCCGGUGGAAAGAGAGUGGAAUUGCCAUCGCUCAACGGAUAAAAGCUACCCUGGGGAUAACAGGCUAAUCUCUCCCAAGAGUCCAUAUCGACGGGGAGGUUUGGCACCUCGAUGUCGGCUCAUCACAUCCUGGGGCUGAAGCAGGUCCCAAGGGUUGGGCUGUUCGCCCAUUAAAGUGGUACGUGAGCUGGGUUCAGAACGUCGUGAGACAGUUCGGUCCAUAUCCAUCGCGGGCGUAAGAUACAUGAGGGAGGCUGCUCCUAGUACGAGAGGACCGGAGUGGACGGACCAACGGUGUACCGGUUGUCCUGCCAAGGGCACGGCCGGGUAGCUGCGUCCGGAAGGGAUAAACGCUGAAAGCAUCUAAGCGUGAAGCCCGUCCCGAGAUGAAGUAUCUCAUUCCUAUAAGGAAGUAAGACCCCUUGAAGAAGACAAGGUAGAUAGGCUGGGUGUGGAAGCACAGCAAUGUGUGCAGCUGACCAGCACUAAUCGGUCGAGGGCUUGACUU
rnacentral:rRNA from 1 species